GGGGUCCUGUGUAUCUGGGGUCAAUUGCAGGUUGGCUAAUACGCUCUGAUAAUCCUGGCUGGCUGUGCUCACCUUCUGGAGGUGGAAUGGUUGUUGGUUGAUUUAGGAUGGUCUUGGCCAGCUUAACUGGGAUGACUUUCUCUGUUCAGGGGCUAGCUGGGAAAUGUACCUGUGGCAGUGACAAAGAUAUAAGAGCUUGCACUGUGUUUGCUAGCAUUUCAUUAGCCGAAGCUCAUCACAUGACUGAGGCCAGAAUUAAAAAACCAGGCCAAAGACACUGACUAUAGUAAGUGGGCCCUGUAAAGUUACAUGGCCAAAGUAUGGGUAUCAAAAGGUGUGACUAAUUCAAAUUGACUAAUACAUCAAUACACUACAGAGGCUAAACUCCAGAAAGUGCUGGGGCUUGACAAUCAAGCUAAAUCUGAGCAAGAAAGAGCCUUACAGAAAUGUUCAGAGAAAGAUGAAGAGGGAAGAGGUCCACAGCUUGCAGAAUGGCUCAACCACUGGGCUGCUCUUUGGGUUUCUUGUAUUAAUAUCUAGUUAGCAAGAGUGUCUUAACACUGGAAAGGGUAGCACAAGGAGGAGUAGCAGACAGUUUGGGUGGGGAGGCAGCCAGCUCCCUAGAGAGUCCAUAUUUGUAGUCCCAAAGGAUUUCCACCCCAGUCUAUUGAAGGGCUUGACAGUGGAACUGCUGACAGUGAUCGUGAAGCAUCAUGGUAAAAUGAUAGAGGCUUCCAAAAAAGGUAGGUUGGUUUUCAAUGGUUGAUGUUUGGAAGGGAUAUCUCCCUAACACAUCUUAAUUCACAAGUGGUCUGGAGUAUUUAAUAUUCUCUCACCCCAUCAAAUGCCUUUAGAAUAACUAAAAAUGCUGAAUAUAUUCAACUAAAAAUGAAUAUCAGUGGUUUUAUAAACCUAGGUCUAAGGCCAUUUCUGGGCUUCCCUGGUAGUUCAGCUGGUGAAGAAUCCACCUGCAAUGCAGGAGACCCUGCUUUGAUUCCUGGGUUGGGA
rnacentral:lncRNA from 1 species